CGGGUGAGUAACACGUGGGUGACCUGCCUUCAGCUCUGGGAUAAGCCUGGGAAACUGGGUCUAAUACCGGAUAUGACCACGUACUGCAUGGUGUGUGGUGGAAAGUUUUUUCGGCUGGGGAUGGGCCCGCGGCCUAUCAGCUUGCUGGUGGGGUGAUGGCCUACCAAGGCGACGACGGGUAGCCGGCCUGAGAGGGCGACCGGCCACACUGGGACUGAGACACGGCCCAG
rnacentral:rRNA from 1 species